rnacentral:rRNA from 1 species
GAUCCUGGCUCAGAUUGAACGCUGGCGGCAUGCUUUACACAUGCAAGUCGAACGGUAGAGGGGGCAACCCCUCGAGAGUGGCGAACGGGUGAGUAAUACAUCGGAACGUGCCCUGUAGUGGGGGAUAACUACUCGAAAGAGUGGCUAAUACCGCAUACAACCUGAGGGUAAAAGUGGGGGACCGCAAGGCCUCACGCUAUAGGAGCGGCCGAUGGAAGAUUAGGUAGUUGGUAGGGUAAAAGCCCACCAAGCCGACGAUCUGUAGCUGGUCUGAGAGGACGACCAGCCACACUGGGACUGAGACACGGCCCAGACUCCUACGGGAGGCAGCAGUGGGGAAUUUUGGACAAUGGGCGCAAGCCUGAUCCAGCCAUGCCGCGUGUGUGAAGAAGGCCUUCGGGUUGUAAAGCACUUUCAGCGAGGAGGAAGGAGUUGUAGUUAAUAGCUGCAACUUUUGACGUUACUCGCAGAAGAAGCACCGGCUAACUCUGUG